CGGUAUCCCAGACCAUGAAGCCAUGGAAGGGACCUCUGCUGCAAAAUUUUCAAGCCUCCUUCCUCUGUCCCAAAGGCUAUCUCAGAUAAGGCG